rnacentral:rRNA from 1 species
UGGGGAAUAUUGCACAAUGGGCGCAAGCCUGAUGCAGCCAUGCCGCGUGUAUGAAGAAGGCCUUCGGGUUGUAAAGUACUUUCAGCGGGGAGGAAGGCGAUAAGGUUAAUAACCUUGUCGAUUGACGUUACCCGCAGAAGAAGCACCGGCUAACUCCGUGCCAGCAGCCGCGGUAAUACGGAGGGUGCAAGCGUUAAUCGGAAUUACUGGGCGUAAAGCGCACGCAGGCGGUCUGUCAAGUCGGAUGUGAAAUCCCCGGGCUCAACCUGGGAACUGCAUUCGAAACUGGCAGGCUAGAGUCUUGUAGAGGGGGGUAGAAUUCCAGGUGUAGCGGUGAAUGCGUAGAGAUCUGGAGGAAUACCGGUGGCGAAGGCGGCCCCCUGGACAAAGACUUACGCUCAGGUGCGAAAGCGUGGGGAGCAAACA